GUUAAGCGACUAAGCGUACACGGUGGAUGCCCUGGCAGUCAGAGGCGAUGAAGGACGUGCUAAUCUGCGAUAAGCGUCGGUAAGGUGAUAUGAACCGUUAUAACCGGCGAUUUCCGAAUGGGGAAACCCAGUGUGUUUCGACACACUAUCAUUAACUGAAUCCAUAGGUUAAUGAGGCGAACCGGGGGAACUGAAACAUCUAAGUACCCCGAGGAAAAGAAAUCAACCGAGAUUCCCCCAGUAGCGGCGAGCGAACGGGGAGCAGCCCAGAGCCUGAAUCAGUGUGUGUGUUAGUGGAAGCGUCUGGAAAGGCGCGCGAUACAGGGUGACAGCCCCGUACACAAAAAUGCACAUGCUGUGAGCUCGAUGAGUAGGGCGGGACACGUGGUAUCCUGUCUGAAUAUGGGGGGACCAUCCUCCAAGGCUAAAUACUCCUGACUGACCGAUAGUGAACCAGUACCGUGAGGGAAAGGCGAAAAGAACCCCGGCGAGGGGAGUGAAAAAGAACCUGAAACCGUG
rnacentral:rRNA from 1 species